GAUGAAGAACGCAGCGAAUUGCGAUAAGUAAUGUGAAUUGCAGAUUUUCAGUGAAUCAUCGAAUCUUUGAACGCACCUUGCACCCUUUGGCAUUCCGAAGGGUAUGCUCGUUUGAGUGUCAUUGUACUCUCACUCUCCCGAUACUUUUGGAUCGGGAGUGGUGGACUUGGGUGCUGCUGCUUAACUGUGGCUCGCCUUAAAUGAAGUAGUGCAACUCUCGGUUGGACAUAGUACGGCGUGAUAAGUGUCUUCGCCGGCGCCUCAUUCGAGGGUGGCCGAUCGGGAGCUCUGUGCUUCAAACUGUCUUCGGACAACAUCUGACAACUUGACCUCAAAUCGAGUAGGACUACCCGCUGAACUUAAGCAUAUCAAUAAGCGGAGGA
rnacentral:misc_RNA from 1 species